rnacentral:rRNA from 1 species
AGCUUGCUUCUUGAGUGACGAGCGGCGGACGGGUGAGUAAUGCAUAGGAAUCUGCCCGAUAGUGGGGGAUAACCUGGGGAAACCCAGGCUAAUACCGCAUACGUCCUACGGGAGAAAGGGGGCUCCGGCUCCCGCUAUGGGAUGAGCCUAUGUCGGAUUAGCUAGUUGGUGAGGUAACGGCUCACCAAGGCAACGAUCCGUAGCUGGUCUGAGAGGAUGAUCAGCCACAUCGGGACUGAGACACGGCCCGAACUCCUACGGGAGGCAGCAGUGGGGAAUAUUGGACAAUGGGCGCAAGCCUGAUCCAGCCAUGCCGCGUGUGUGAAGAAGGCCCUCGGGUUGUAAAGCACUUUCAGCGAGGAAGAACGCCUAGCGGUUAAUACCCGCUAGGAAAGACAUCACUCGCAGAAGAAGCACCGGCUAACUCCGUGCCAGCAGCCGCGGUAAUACGGAGGGUGCAAGCGUUAAUCGGAAUUACUGGGCGUAAAGCGCGCGUAGGUGGCUUGAUAAGCCGGUUGUGAAAGCCCCGGGCUCAACCUGGGAACGGCAUCCGGAACUGUCAAGCUAGAGUGCAGGAGAGGAAGGUAGAAUUCCCGGUGU